GGAGGGAUUUCAGGGAGAGAGGCGUGGGAUGGCAGGGAGGGGAAGGGAGAGAGGAGUGAGGUUGCCAAAAAGUGGGGUUAGGGUUGAUUUUUUCUCCUCAAAUCAAGGGUUGGUGUCGCUGAUUGAGAGAUUGAGAGGGAUGGGGGAGAGAGACAGAAACACACCCAUUUGGCCUUCAUUUUCCCCUUUCUCAAACCCUAGCAGCCAGAACCCCAAAACUGAGCCCACUUCUUCAAUAACAUCGGCUCUUGCUUCCCAAAACCACACAAACCUUCCCUUCGUUUCUGUUACAGGUCGCUGAAAAAUAUUCUUGAGGAUGGAGAAGACGAUGGUGGCACGACGGUUGGGUCGUUUGUGCAGGUCAUUGUUUUGGAGAUUUAUGAUUUGCUGUCGAGCAAUGGCGGUGGAGGAUUCGGGUUUGGAUGGCCAAAGAGCAAUGUCUCCAAUUCUAAGGUGGAGGCAUCGACUAAUCAGCUAGUUGAUCAGCAGAUGCCAGUGUAUAAUCUUGCAUCGAAGAUUCUUUGUCAGGUUAUCAAUGUAUCAUUGAAGGCUGAACCAGACAAUGAUGAAGUAUUUGCACAAGUCACUUUACUUCCUGAAUCAAAUGUAAGUUGGCUUGAGGAUUAUGAUUUAUUGUGGGCGGGUAAAACUAAUUAUGGGUUGAGAUUCUGGUGGUUUGAUGUUAUAAAUUUUAGCAAGAUGAGAAUGCAGUGGAGAAGGAAAUAACAUAGGGCGCGCGUCCUUAAACGGGAAAAGACUUUGGUUAGGCAAAGUCAAAUCAAGAAAGAGAAUAGGUAGAGGAUAAAACAUAAUCAAGUGGAAAUUUUAGGUACAAAAUUUGGAGUGAGUCAAGAAAUUAUACAAUGGUGUCCAACUGCUUUCCACCAUGGCCACUUUAAAAGGCUUAGUUCUUUUUCCAAGUGAAGACAUAAAAUGGCACUUGAGCAGUAGAAAUAUUAACAUCUAUACUAGAAUGAAAAAACUGCAUAUUUGAAAGGAAAAAAAACACACCAGCACACACUUGGAAAUAGCUGGAAAUAUUGGCAAACCUCAAUGUAUAUGCACGCUUUAGCGAUAUUUAUAAUGAGGAUAUUUAUAUUAGCAAACCUCACUUAUGCCCUGUACACAUUCUAUUGUUUAAGUAAUGAAGAAAACUAUUCUCAAUGUCUCUAGCUAUUCAUUUAUUAGAAAACUUCAUUUUAAUCCCUAAAUAAGAUUGCUUUUUCAAUAAUACCGUAUGUAAGAUUAAAAACUAAAAAUAGUCCUCCAUGUCAGAUUAUAGUAUUCCAUGUCACAUUUAAUCAUUUUUUAAUAAAUUUAUUGCAUUUUUAGUUUCCCUAUUUACCCUU